ensembl:snRNA U6 U6 spliceosomal RNA
GUGCUCGCUUCAGCAGCACAUAUACUAAAAUUGGAUCGUACAGAGAAGAUUAUCAUGGCCCCUGCUCAAGGAUGACACACAUUUAUUUUUUU